rnacentral:rRNA from 1 species
CGAGUCACGUAGCAAUACGUGGCACACGGCUCAGUAACACGUAGUCAACAUAACCAGAGGACGUGGAUAAACUCGGGAAACUGAGGCUAAACCGCGAUAGACCAAGAUACCUGGAAUGGUUUUUGAUCAAAAUCUAUAUGGCCUUUGGAUUGGACUGCGACCGAUCAGGCUGUUGGUGAGGUAAUGGCCCACCAAACCUGUAACCGGUACGGGCUCUGAGAGGAGGAGCCCGGAGAUGGGUACUGAGAAAAGGACCCAGGCCCUAUGGGGCGCAGCAGGCGCGAAACCUCUGCAAUAGGCGAAAGCCUGACAGGGUUACUCUGAGUGACUUUCGCUAAGAAAGUCUUUUGACAUCUCUAAAAAUGGUGUAGAAUAAGGGGUGGGCAAGUCUGGUGUCAGCCGCCGCGGUAAUACCAGCACCCCGAGUGGUCGGGACGAUUAUUGGGCCUAAAGCAUCCGUAGCCGGUUUUACAAGUCCUCCGUUAAAUCCAACUGCUUAACAGAUGGGCCGCGGAGGAUACUAUAAGACUAGGAGGCAGGAGAGGCAAGCGGUACUCAGUGGGUAGGGGUAAAAUCCGUUGAUCCAUUGAAGACCACCAGUGGCGAAGGCGGCUUGCCAGAAUGCGCUCGACGGUGAGGGAUGAAAGCUGGGGGAGCAAACCGGAUUAGAUACCCGGGUAGUCCCAGCUGUAAACGAUGCAGACUCGGUGAUGGACUAGCUUAAUGCUGGUCCAG